GCAGUCGAACGAGUUCUGAUUAUUGAAAGGUGCUUGCAUCUUGAUUUAAUUUUGAACGAGUGGCGGACGGGUGAGUAACACGUGGGUAACCUGCCCUUAAGUGGGGGAUAACAUUUGGAAACAGAUGCUAAUACCGCAUAAAUCCAGAACCGCAUGGUUCUUGGCUGAAAGAUGGCGUAAGCUAUCGCUUUUGGAUGGACCCGCGGCGUAUUAGCUAGUUGGUGAGGUAACGGCUCACCAAGGCAAUGAUACGUAGCCGAACUGAGAGGUUGAUCGGCCACAUUGGGACUGAGACACGGCCCAAACUCCUACGGGAGGCAGCAGUAGGGAAUCUUCCACAAUGGACGCAAGUCUGAUGGAGCAACGCCGCGUGAGUGAAGAAGGCUUUCGGGUGUAAAACUCUGUUGUUGGAGAAGAAUGGUCGGCAGAGUAACUGUGUCGGCGUGACG
rnacentral:rRNA from 1 species